UACGGAGGUGGCAAGCGUUGCUCGGAAUUACUGGGCGUAAAGGGCGCGUAGGCGGACAGCUUAGUCAGAGGUGAAAGCCCAGGGCUCAACCUUGGAACUGCCUUUGAUACUGGCUGUCUUGAGUUCGGGAGAGGUGUGUGGAACUCCGAGUGUAGAGGUGAAAUUCGUAGAUAUUCGGAAGAACACCAGUGGCGAAGGCGACACACUGGCCCGAUACUGACGCUGAGGCGCGAAAGCGUGGGGAGCAAACAGG
rnacentral:rRNA from 1 species